ensembl:lincRNA
UUUUCAAAAUUACUCACAACAUUUCAACACCAGUAUACAUUUUUAAAAAUAUUUCCCUUGUAAACUUAAAAGUUCAAAAUGAAGAACAUGCUGAUGGGGAAAGCGAAGCAGUGAAUGAGGAGCACAGUGAGGUGUCUACCAUCCCAAAUAAAAAACGGAAACGCUCUAAAAAGUCUGAAAAGGAAGAUGAAGAUCCCACCAAACAGAAACCGAAGACUAAAAAGAGCAAAACAUCACCACAAGGUUGAGUUUGCUUGUUUUUUACUCAGUAUAAAAAUAUACACUGAAAAUGUAUGUCUCCGUAGAAUCAAUCUGAUUUUUGUCUUCUGCUCAGAUUUUAGUGGAUCUGAGCCAGGAGCUGAAGGAAUUGAAAUCUCAGCAGCAGCCACCAGUGCUGAAGGGGAUCAUGGGGAGAUGCUCAAUCAAGACAGCGCAGUUCAGGAGAUUUCGAAAAGCUCUUCCAAACGUUCCAAGAAGCCUUUGCCCAAGUUAGUAAAAAGAAAAUCCAAGAAAUGUACUGAACCACAAGCAGCAGAAGAGAUGGAAGAUGCAGUAGAACAGCCUGAAGAUGAAAGCUGCACAGAUGCUGGUAAUAAGUCCAGGAUCCUCCUUGCUGAGGAGCAGCUCCAGAAGCAGCCAGUUGUUGUUUUGGAGAGAACUCCUCCACGGUUAAAAGAGUCAUACAACUCGACUGAAAGUCAAGACGGGCCACAGUCCUCUAAAAGCCCACAAUGCUCUCCUGGAAGAAAGAUGAGAGCAGAGAAGGUCAAGCGCAAUCUGUCUGCUGCGGAUGGUGGUCGUGAAGUCCACAGUUGUGAAGAGGAUCAUAGGGAAAAUCUCAGUCCAGAGAGUUCAGCUCAGGAGGCGGCUUCUCAAAGCUUCUCCAGACAUUCUCCGAGUUGGCAGACGAGAGCAGCAAAGGUCAAGCCCGAUCUGGCUCCCUCAGAAAGAGAACAGAUGGAGCAGUUUAAGGCUAGAUCAGAUUCAUCAGCAGAGGACAUAAGCAGCACUGCCAUCCCUGAUCAGAUCGUCAGCCAAGACUCUGAAGUGAUGGGCGCUGAUCAGUGCACGGAGGAGGAGGAAUAUAAUUUGCAGUCUGUGACUUCAUCUGAAGUAAUUGGUCAGACAUUUCUGAAAAAAGCAGUUGUGUCUGUGUCUCAUGAAGAAGUACAGCAUUACCUCAGGGUUCAAGCCCAAAACACAGCCGAGGAAUCAACAGCAUCUGAAAGUCUGCAGGACACAACACCUGACAGACGCCAUCAGGUGGAAGAGAAUAGAGAGGGUUUUAAGGAGCAGGGCUCUUCUAGUGUUACUGUCUCUCAAGAAGCAGAGAUGAAAGAGUCACCCACUGCCUCAGUUUCUGCCCAACAGAGCAUUACUGCAACAAGGAGAAGGGUUUUGAAGCCCACACCAAGGCUCAGUCGGGAAGCACAGUCCAGCCGCAGACCUCUAAAUGUACAGACUAUAGAAUCGAGUCAAAAUACCUCAUCUUUAAAAGAGCAAGUGAACCUCACACCGAAUGAAAACAUUGAGGAAGAGCACAGGGACUGUCCUGAAGAAGAGGACACACAUAGUGUUUCUCCACAAGAGAACAGCUCUCAUGAUGUUCAGGAUGAUCUCAGAUCCACAGCUGAUGAUUCUCCUUCCACAUCAUCAGUUGAAAUCCCCGAAACAGUUGACAAACCUAUGGCUUGUAAUACAGAUGUACCUGAAAGAAAAACAGAGCUUGCUGCAUCUCCAGCCCCGAUUUUCGAGAUUGAAGAUCAAAUCAGGGAUCAAGAGGAACAGGAUUCAGAGUUUGAGAUCACAGAGAGCACGAUCAAUGAGAUAAUGACAGAGAUAAAAAGGAGUAUUCCAGUCAGCUUUUCCGGUGAUGAAACACACUGUCAAAUUGCAAAGCCCACUUCCAGCAUAGAAUGUGAACCUCAGGUCUCUGUGAGCCCUCAACAUACCUCAGAGCCUAAUGAAGAUUCUGCCAAGAAGCCAGAUCAUCAGAGCCCUUCGAUAGCCCAGCACAGUGAUUUAGAUCAAGGCAUAGAGCCUUUCUCUGGAGAAGAUAAGCCUGUGUCAUCUGUAGUGGAUUUGCGGGAAUGUAAACAGGAUGAGGAUCUUCUGUGUCCUGUCCCAUUGCUUAACUCAACACAAACACCAGUCCCUGUGGUCAGUGCUGGCACAGAAAUCAAACAACAGAAUAACCCAGCUUUUAGUGAUGCUUCAUUGGAACCAUUAAAACCACAGAGUCUGGAUUCAUCUAUUUCUGAUCAUCUCACCCAACAUACCAGCAACUUGUACGAUACUGAUGCGUUGAUGUUUAGUGUGCCUGCAGCUGAAAACAUCCAAAUACCAGAUAAACAGGAUUCAGCAAAACAAGACUGCGCUGAAGAGCAAUCGUCAGUUUCUGAGAACUGGAGUGUCCCUCUCGAUGGGGAUUCAAAAGCUGAAAUCUCAAUCUCAUCUGGAGUGGAGACAGGUGCAUCUGAUUACCAGGCAGAGGAGCCCACCUUUAUUUUGACUCUGUAUGAGAUUCCAACCUCUGAGCUGUUUAGUGAGGGAAUCAGCGGGGAGCAGGACACACUGCCCUAUGAACUACAGCCUGCACAAGUCCACACACCCUCACGGUUGAAAGGCAAUUCACAAACUCCUUCCUUCACAGAAGAGCCUUCCAGUGCAUCUCUGCACAUGGCAUCAGAAGAGCCAGAGAAACCAGGUGAAAGUGUUUCUUGUGAGGAUGAUCCUCUGGUUUGUCUUUCAAAGUAUCCAGAAAAUGCCAGUACACAAUUGAUAUACACACAGGAAAGCAGUUAUGAUGGUGUGAACUCUUUAAUUUGUCCAUCUGAGAUGCUCUCGGCCACGCUUACAGAUGUGCCAAAUUUGGAUGAGACCACAACAAAAGCAUCAGAAACAAAAGCUCCUGCUCAGAGGAGAAGCAAGAUAAAGAUCAAGCCAAAACUGAAGCCAUGUUUGAAAGCUGGACCUUCAAGAAAUGUCCAGUUGGACCCUGCAAGCAGUCAGAGUCCACCAUCAUCUCAUGCCAAAGCUGAAACUGAGAGCGAGUCCAAACAGAAAACAUCUGCACAAGAAACUAUUGAUCCUAAAAUCCACUCAGACCCUGAAGACAGUGAGCUGGGAGCCCAUUCUGGACAUGACUGUGUAGUUUCAGUAGCCACUGUGCCAGUUUCUGAAGAGAUGACAGUUGAGCAUCCUCUUCAAAUAGAAGUUGACCAGAUGGACCAAGUCUUUCCAGUGCACAGUACAGUCAUGGACGUGUCCAAGGAUAGAAGUGAUUAUGGUUGUGAGGGUGUUUCACACAUGGUGCUGGCUGACACCUUCAUGCUCUCUUCAGGAGAAAUAGAUAGUGUUUUAAAUGUGUUGGAAAGCCCUAAUAAUAGUGAGCUUCAAGAAGAGAGAGAGAAAGUUGUCCUUGAAGUUAAUGACCAAAAGGAAACAAUGGGAGAUAUUGCUGGAAAGCAGGAUAGUUGCCUAAAGACAUCAAGUGUGCUGCCAUCAACAUUUCAAGAGCAGUCUAAGCCCUUUAGCAGAUGCAAACUAACAUCUCCUACUGAGGACAUGUCAAGUCAAGAGCAGUCUGAUAUUGGGUUUAAUGAUCCAGCCACAGCUCAAAUCAUUUCACCAGAACCUCUAAUUAAAGAAGAAUUAGAAGAGAGAACGGAGCAAGAAGAAGAUGUGUCUGAGGAAGAAUUAGAUGCAAGGCCUGCCUUGAUGACUUUGUCUACACAGGAUCUUACGUCAUUCACAUCUGAAAAAUCAUUAGCAUGCAGUGAUUCGCCAUCUGUGGAAAUGAAAAAAGAGGGAGGUUCUCUUGAUGUGACGCACAUAGUGUUGUCUGAUAUAUUUGUGCCGGUUUCUAAUGAAACACAAGAUGAUGUUAAUAUGGAGAGAGGCUGUUCUGUCCAAAGCGUCAACCAGAUGGGUGAAGAGGAGAGACGAUCAUAUGAGAGAGUUUGUCAUGUGGUGCUGACUGAUAUAUUGAGAAGCCCUCGAUUGACAGAAAGACCUCAGCUGAGAGAGGAGGCACAGUCAUCACAUGCUGAAUCGUCAGUAUCACCCAAGAGGAACAGGCCUGCUCAGGGAAAAGGCACACAGUGUUCAAAACCUACAUUAUCAAAAAGGAUAGACGAUCCUUCAGAAACUGACCUCAUUCCACCCAGCUCUGCACAGAGCUCUCUGGCUGCACCUCAACAGUCUCUGGACCAUCAAGCAGAGGAAUGGACCUUUAAAAGCAAUAUGUUGCCCAUAGACUCAGAUGAGAUUGAGAACUGGUGUGAAGGAGUUUCCCACAUGUUGCUGUCAGAUGCAUUUGUGCCUGUUUCUGAAGAGAAUGAGGAGAACAACACAAACCUAAAAAUGUUUGACUCGAGCAGUCCUCAUGACAAUAAGGAAUUUGCUCGAAGUCCAUCAAUAAGGAGGAAGACACCUUCAGUGAUAUCAGAUAAUACGCCUCCAAUAGACUCUACCACUGAAAUACCAGAGAUUGGGGUCUCAAAAGAGAGUCUGCCUGCAUCACAAGCCAAAGAAUCACCAACAACAAAUACAUUUCACAUGACACUAAGAUCACCUGAAAGAUGCAUUAAAGAUCAGCCUAAAGUGCAGAAGUCUCCUCAGGCUGCCUCAACGACACCUCAGCGGACUCUGACAUCAAAAGUGAAGGAGUCAGUGGAGUCUCCAUCAAGGCAACACAUAGGAGAGACCUCAAGUUUGUGUAGAGUACAGUUAGAGAGGUUGUCGAUGGAGGAAAUCCGUGCUGCUCAAAGUGUUCUGCAGCCAAAACAUCACAGCACGCCUGUCACUGUGAAAACCACUUCUAGAGGAAAUGAAACCCAAAUAGUAUCAUCUCUGGCUUUGCUUGGAAGCAGAAGUCCUGGUUUUGAACUGCAAGCUGGUGAAGAGACACAUGUACCAUCAGGAUUCUCACCAAAGAUUGUUCUUCACCGUAUUCCUAUAACACCUACCUCAUCUCCAGCUAGAGCACCCACAGCCUCUCAAACAUCGGCAGAUGGGCAGUCUCCUCAAAGCAGCCCUUCUGCUGGGGAAUCUUCUAAGGAUCCAGUUCAGGUGUCUCAGUUCUUCCUGGAUGAUAUCUUCACUGAAGUCGAGGAUACCGACUAAUCAUUUGUGAUUUUUUGGGUAAUUUUCACUGCUGCUAUUUCUGUUCAUUGCACUAUAGAGUGAACAAUGUUACACUAAUUUACUGAAAGAGUGGCUGUGAGCAAUUUUAAUAGUUUGUCUAAUUUCAUUUUGUUUAUGAUGGAAAAAAAAUGUCUGUUGAAUUUUUCUGCAAUUCUUUAUUCUUUUUGUUGAUGUUUAAUCACAGCUCUUAUUUAUUUCUAUUUAUUUACUAUUGAACAUCACUCACAGUCACAUUGUGUCACCAGUGUGAUUUUUACUGACUGAUUUUGAGUUUAAAGCUCUUGUGUUGUUCAGUGGAAAUAUAUUUGUUUUUAAUGGUUAACAUGUUAUUUCUUGUGUUUUUCUUUGAGAUUGAAGCUUUACAAUAUCUUUCUCCAGUAAGAAAUAACCUUUCAAUUGUCAGUUGUUUUGGCUGUAUGUGGCAGUCUGGAUAUCACAGCAGUUUAGUAAUUAGAAACAAAUGAAAUGAACAAAUAAAUAAAUGGAUUCAACUUUUUCCAACUUUUUUUUUAUAUUGUGAACUCUAAAUUAUUUUGAUUUAAAUGAAACAGAAUUUUAGUUUUAAAUGUUUAGCUCUCAGGAAAAAAGGAAAUUUAAUCACCUUUUACUCAUGAGUGCCUCCAAACCUUUGUAAGUUUUUUUUUUUAUUUUAUUUUAUUUUUUUAUGUCGAACCAUAAAAAGGUUUUGAAGAAUUUUGGAAACCAGUAGUUAUUGAUAUCCAUAUGAUAAAAAACACCAACUAUAGAAGUCAAUGUACACCAGUUUUCAAUUAUUUUGUUAAGUCUUUCUUUUGAACAGAAGAACCUCAAACUAAUCUGGAACAAAAUGGUCAAUUAAAUGUUUUGUUCACUGUCCCUUUCAUUUUAAAUUUGACUGGGUAAAAAAAAAAAAAAAGAGUAAGGAGCUUUUUUAUUAAUUCGUAUAUUUAUUUAUUAGCAUGUGGUGAUAGUUUUAAAGUGAAAAAAAGGCAUUUAAACUAGUUUUAACAAAAUACAGAGCCUGCUAAUUCUACACUCACCAGCCACUUUAUUAGGUACACCUAUCCAACUGCUCAUUAACAAAUUUCUAAGCAGCCAAUCUCAUGGCAGCAACUCAAUGCAUUUAGGCAUGUAGACAUGAUCAAGAUGAUCUGCUGCAGUUCAAACCAAGCAUCAGAAUUGGGAAGAAAAGUGAUUUAAGUGACUUUGAACGUGGCAUGGUUGUUGGUGCCAGACGGGCUGGUCUGAGUAUUUCAGAAACUGCUGAUCUAAUGGAACUUUCAUGCACAAACAUCUCUAGGGUUUACAGAGAAUGGUCCGAAAAAGAGAAAAUAUCCAGUGAGCGGCAGUUCUGUGGGCGUAAAUGCCUUGUUGAGGUCAGAGGAGAAUGGCCAGACUAGUUCGAGCUGAUAGAAAGGCAACAGUAACUCAAAUUACCAACCGAGGUAUGCAGAAGAGCAUCUCUGAAUGCACAACAUGUCAAAUCUUAGGCGGAUGGAAUACAGCAGCAAAGGACCACACCGUGUGCGACUCCUGUGAGCUAAGAACAGGAAACUGAGGCUACAAUUCACACAGGCUCACCAAAAUUGGACAAUAAAGUAUUGGAAAAACGUUGCCUGAUCUGAUGAGUCUCGAUAUCUGCUGUGACAUUCGGAUGGUAGGGUCAGAAUUUGGCACCAAGCACACAAAAGUGUGGAUCCAUCCUGCUUUGUAUCAAUGAUUCAGGCUGGUUUCCUUGGUACACUUUGGGCCCAUAAUUACCAAUUGAGCUUCGUGUCAACGCCACAGCCUCCCUGUGUAUUAUUGCUGACCAUGUCCAUCCCUUUGACUACAGUGUACCCAAUUUCUGAUGGCUACUUCCAGCGACAUAAGGCAACAUGGCAUAAAGCGUGAAUCAUCUCAGACUGAUUUCUUUUACAUGACAAUGCGGUUACUCUACGCAAAUGGCCUCCAAAGCCAUCAGAUCUCAAUCCAAUAGAGCACCUUUGGGAUGUGGUGGAAUGGGAGAUUCACAUUAUGGAUGUGCAGCUGACCAAUCUGCAGCAACUGCGUGAUACUAUUAUGUUAAUAUGGACCAACAUUUCUGAGAAAUAUUUACAGUGCCUUGUUGAAUCUAUGCCAUGUAUGAUUAAGGCAGUUCUGGAGGCAAAAGGGGGUCAAUCUAAUAGUAGUAAGAUGUACCUAAUAAAGUGGCCGGUGAGUGUACUGAUUUGUGUAUUUUGAUUGUAAAAAGUGGAAAUUGUAAAUGUAUGCAGAUUUAUUCAUUUUUUUUGUCUUUUAACACGAUUUUCAUAAAUGGUGGAUCAUUUGUUACAUAUUUUUAUGCUGUAGUUAGGAAAAGACGAGAUUUUUUGUAUUAGGAAACGUUUCAUUUUUUUCUAGAUUAAAUGCAUAUUUUUUAAGUACAUAAAAUGAAAAGGU